AGACCCCACGUAGACUAUGUGGUUGAUAGGUCGGAGGUGUAAGUGUGGUAACACAUUCAGCUGACCGAUACUAAUAGGUCGAGGGCUUGACCUA
rnacentral:rRNA from 1 species